UACGGAGGGGGCCAGCGUUGUUCGGAAUCAUUGGGCGUAAAGGGCGCGUAGGCGGCUUUGUAAGUCCGUUGUGAAAUCCCUCGGCUCAACCGAGGAACUGCGACGGAUACUGCUUGGCUUGAGUCCCGGAGAGGGUAGCGGAAUUCCCAGUGUAGCGGUGAAAUGCGUAGAUAUUGGGAGGAACAUCGGUGGCGAAGGCGACCAACUGGUUGGUGAUUGACGCUGAGGCGCGAAAGCGUGGGGAGCAAACAGG
rnacentral:rRNA from 1 species